GGGGAAUAUUGGGCAAUGGGCGCAAGCCUGACCCAGCAACGCCGCGUGAGGGAAGAAGGUUUUCGGAUUGUAAACCUCUGUCCUUGGUGACGAAGGAAGUGACGGUAGCCAAGGAGGAAGCCCCGGCUAACUACGUGCCAGCAGCCGCGGUAAUACGUAGGGGGCGAGCGUUGUCCGGAAUUACUGGGCGUAAAGGGUGAGUAGGCGGUUUUUUAAGUUGGAUGUGAAAUACCCGGGCUUAACUUGGGGGGUGCAUUCAAAACUGGGGAACUAGAGUACAGGAGAGGAAAGCGGAAUUCCUAGUGUAGCGGUGAAAUGCGUAGAUAUUAGGAGGAACACCGGUGGCGAAGGCGGCUUUCUGGACUGAAACUGACGCUGAGGCACGAAAGCGUGGGGAGCAAAC
rnacentral:rRNA from 1 species